ensembl:lncRNA
AUGAAGAGAAUCCCAAUGAAAUUACGAAAACCCCUAGAUCUAGCCAUGGUUGAAGUCAGAGAUGAUAAACAUCCUGAGGGCUGGGGUUCCUUCUUACUGUCUUUAUGUCAUCAGCAUCCCUCGUACUCCCUUUGCAGCAGCUCACUAGAUGUUGACCAGACACUGAAUGGCGAUUCAAGAGCCACUUCCAAGAAGCCAGGAAAUCUUCAUACCUGGAUGCAGGGAUUCAUCAUCACUAAGAAACACCUUGCACAUAAGCUGUUGCCUGAUUUCUGCAGCCAGCUGAAGACUGGUUACUUGCAAGCUACCAUGCCUGUAAAAGCAGUGACCAACCCAAGGUCACACACUCAAUGUGUGAUAGUGAUAUUGAGAUUUGAACUGAGAUGUCUGUCUCCAAAGUCUACAUUCUGUCCUUUAUACAUCGAUUCAAAUGAGUCCCGGCUUCUACUAAAUGUCAAAAGAGUAAACAAAUAUACAAAGCUAUUUGCACCAAAAUAGUCAUUACUGAUCAGUAUUGAUUGGCCAUUUCAGUGUCUCAGCACUACCUAUUUUCAAAUCCCUGGGUGCUUAAUAACAGUAAGUUUGGUACUACUAAUACAUGUCUCAUUUUGAUUGUUUCUUGACUAUUUUCUUCUAAUGUCAUUUAACUCUUUCCUUCUCCUUACUUUUGUAAUCAGUUGUGUCAUUAAACACAAAAUCUCUUUAUAGAGACUAUUUACUACUAUGGAAUUUCAAUUAUACAAUUAUCACAUUAAAAAAAUCAUCAUGUGGCUACUAAGGAAUGGGUAUCUUUUUAAAUUCUAACAUAAAUUUUAAGGAAAAUGUAGUAUAAAAAAAAUCCGAUUACUUCACUGGAGAAGUCUGCUCCUUAAGGUCCUCACACAGUCUUUAUAGGCACGGUUUUCCAGUAAGCCCUGGAAUAGCUCUUCUGAUGAGCUUCAGAGAUUUAUUAGCUUCUUUUUAGACUGGGUACACCAUAGGUAGCAUUUUACAUGAAAUGUGACAUACAACUUCUAUUCUGCCACGUAUUUUCCCUUUAUUUUCUGCAUUUCAAAUGGUAUAUUGACAUAUAUACAUAAAAUAUAUAUAGAUAUGUACAGUAAGUUGUCCCUUAAUGUUAUUGAUAGAUUCUUGUAAACUACAACUUACACAAAACGACGUAAUUAAACCAAAUUUUACCAUAGGCUAAUUGAUGUAAAUAAGAGUUAAGUUCCUAUGGCAUAUAAUCAUAAAAACAUCAACAAAUUUUUAAAAACCAAAACACUUCUAAUAUUAAACAUUGAAGUAAAUGUGAGCUACAUAUACAUUAAAGAAAGAUGACUAAAAACAAGAUAAGGAUUUACUCAAUUGUUCCAGUUCAAGGCUGUGAGUAGCCAGACCCUAUCCUGGUAGUUCAGGGGUAAGGUAGGACCAGCCCUGAAUAGGACACCAUCCCAUCUCAUACAGACCCCCAAUCCCCAGACUGGAACCAUGUAGACACGCCAAUUAACUUCACCUGCACAUCUUUGGGAUGAGAGAGAAAACCAGAGUACCAGGAGAAAACCCAUGCUCAUAUGGGAAGAACAUGCAAACUCCACACAGACAGCAGCCCCAGUGGGAAUUGUUUUUUUAUUAAUAUUAUAAUGAAAUGAUGUUAAAUGACAUUAUUCUAUGAAUAUACAUAUGUGUGUGAAGAUAUAUGUGUAUUAGUUCAUUCUCAUGCUGCAAAUAAAGACAUACCCGAGACUGGGUAAUUAAUAAAGAAAAGAGAUUUAAUGGAUUCAAAGUUUCACAUGGCUGGAGAGGCCUCACAAUGGUGGUGGAAGAUGAAGGAAGAACAAAGGAAUGUCCGGGAAGAGAGAGCUUGUGCAGGGGAACUCCCAUUUAUAAAACCAUCAGAUUCCAUGAGACUUAUUCACUACCAUGAGAACAGCACAGAAAAGACCUGCCCCCCUCCACCAUGAUUCAGUUACCUCCCACCGGAUUCCUCCCAUGACACGUGGGGAUUAUUACAAUUCAAGGUGAGAUUUAGGUGGGGACACAGCCAAACACAGCCAAACCAUAUCAACGUGUGUUCAUAUAUAUGCAUUUUUAAAUGUUAGUUAAUGGAGAAACAAAAAUCAUCUAUAAUCCACCUGUCUAUGGUGACCACCAUUAUGCAUGUGAUGCCUCCUUUUACCUUCUUGCCUAUUUUUUCAAUUUGUUUAUAGUAACACUAGAUAUUUACUGUUUGCUUUUACCUGUUACGUUAUAGUCUAAGUAUUUUUUCACAUUAAUAUAUAAUCUUCAAAGCCAGUAUUUAAAGAUCAUAUACUAUAUCAAAUGAUUUAUCAUAAUUACUUACUGAAGCCUCCACUUUAUACAAGUUAGGUUAUUUCUAUUUUUAUACGAUAAACGAUGUUACAAAUAUCUUCACCUAUAUGGAUUUUUAAAUAUUUUGGCUUUAUCAGUUAAUUAUUCUGGAAAUUGAAACAAAGAGUUAAAGGGCAAAAACCUUUUUAUGCUGUUUGCUGUUACUGGGAAAUAAAGGUUGCUAUGAAAAACUGCCAGUGAGUUAAAGCUCACAGGAACCAGGAUAAAUGGUAUGAAUGUGUGACAUAACAGAAAGAAAGAAUGCAUUUGAUAAUAGGAAUACAGGAUGUUCACAACUGUGUGUGCAUAAAGGCUAACUUGAGCUGAACUGUUUUGUGCAAUACGAUAAAGUUAUAAAUACAGUGAAAGAAUGUCAUACAUAAGAACUCUAACAGAAAAAUAGCACUAAAUUGCUUCCCAAAAGUGUUCUACUAAUUUACAGUAUCUCCAGAAAUGAAUGAUGGUGGCGGUAUUUUAGAACCAUUACAAGAAUUAUAUAGUAUCAUUUUUUAAACCUUUGAUAAUUUAAUGAGAACUACUGUUUUCAUUUGCAUUGAUUUUAUAGGUCAGCUGAACUUUUAACUACAUAUUGUUUUCAAAACACAUGUUUAUUGGCAUUCUGCCGUUGAUUUUUUUCUAGGUGCAUUCCUCAGAAUCUACUUCUGCCCAGGCUCCCUCAAGUUAAAGAAGAACCCAUAUUUCUAACUUUCAAGAGCUUUAACUGUUAUCCAUGGUGAUGUUUACAUUUUAUUUACGUUGUCAUCUCCUCACAGCAUAGAUCUUUUCUCUGGUGUUUUAUGUUUUGCAAACUGCUGCGUAACACUUGUGAUGCUUUAUAAAUUAUAAAUAAUACAAGUCCUGUAGCCUCUGCCAGCAGCCUUUGAUCAAGGUCAUCUUUCAACUGACUUCACAUGAGUAGACAUGAAAAAGAAAAAGAAGGAAUCUUCUUCUCGAUGGUUUGGCUGUUUAUCUGCAAUGAUCAACCAGGUUACUGGCAAGUAGGUGUCCAAAACACACCCCAUACAAGCUCACAGUGAAACAAUGUUCCUGGCGGACUCUUAGUUCAAGCAAAGCUCUGCAUAUCCAGGAUGGCUGUUAUGAGAUCACUCUUGAGUAGGUUAAAGGGUAACAGAAUUCAAUAUCCCUUGGUCUUGCCUCUUUAUCAGGAAACCUUCAUAAUUUAAGAAGGUUCAUAUGUGUGGAUGUCUCUGAUUUCAGCUAUUGCAGGUGGAAAGGGAACUGAGAAAGUGUUUAGGUUUUACUGUCAAUUCUUCCACAACAGAAUUUGAUCAUAACUAUGUGAUGUGAUGGAUAGGUUAAUUAGCCUGAUUGCAGUAAUCAUUUUACAAUGUGUAUGUAUAUCAAACAUCAUGUUGCAUACCUUAAAUAUUGCACACAAUUUUUAUUUGUCAGGUAUGCCUCAAUAAAGCUGAAAAAAAAAAACCCAUAAAACUUCAAUUCAUUGUUUCCCUAAUUGAAAAAGAACAACAAAUUUUCAGUUCGAUGUCAUGGCCAGUUGUUGCAGGGAUCAGUGAAAAAUAAGAUACAGUAGAAAAAAGAGACUACAGUGUGGAAGAAGAGGAGAAGAUAAGUGAGGUACACAGAAAAAAAGGUAUUACUGAAGACAGAAAGGGUGGGAAAAUCUAGUAAGGAAUUAGAGAACAGGAUCCAGAGAAGGAGAGAGAAACAGGAAUCUCGGAGAUGAGUGUAUGUUGCCAUGCCAUCUAGCUAGAGUGCUACCUUUCUGAAUAUUUGUGCUUUUCAAAAAAUAUAUUUUGAAAUAUGUAUAUAUUGUGGCAUUGUGAAACAUUUUUAAUGCAUACAAAAGUAGGUGGAACAAUUAUAAUAAAAUUUAUGAAGCUAUUAUUCUGCCCCAACAAUCUGGGUUCAUCUCUAGUCUGGGUUCAUCUCUAGUCUGGGUUUAUCUCUACCUUUAUUCACUAUCUGUAUUAUUUUCAUUCAAAUUCCAAACAUUAUAUCAUUUCAAAUAUUUCAUUAUGAAAUUCCAAAACAUAGUGUAUUUUAAAAUAACCACAAUAUCAUUUACACAUCGAAAAUAUAACACUAAUCCCUGAUAACACCAAAGCAUCAGUUUUCAAAUUUCCAAUCAUCUAAAAAUCAAUGUGAUUUUUCAAAAAAAGUUUUUAAUUGUGGGCAUUGUUUUUUAAAUUUAUAUCCAAAUAAGGACCAUAGAUAUUGGCAACACCUUUUUAGUCUUUCUUAACCUGUGAAUUCUCCUCCUAGUACUUUAUAUUUUUUGGACUUUUAUUGUUGAAGAAGCCAUUCAUUUGUCUUGUAAGAAUUUCCUGCAGUUUGGAUUUUGUUCAUUGCAGUCCAUCCUGUUUAACAUGUUUGUCUCUCCUUCGUAUUUUCUAAGUUGGUAGCUG